rnacentral:rRNA from 1 species
CCUACGGGAGGCAGCAGUGGGGAAUAUUGCACAAUGGGGGAAACCCUGAUGCAGCGACGCCGCGUGAGUGAAGAAGUAUUUCGGUAUGUAAAGCUCUAUCAGCAGGGAAGAAAAUGACGGUACCUGAUUAAGAAGCCCCGGCUAACUACGUGCCAGCAGCCGCGGUAAUACGUAGGGGGCAAGCGUUAUCCGGAUUUACUGGGUGUAAAGGGAGCGUAGACGGCAGCACAAGUCUGGAGUGAAAUGCCGGGGCUUAACCCCGGAACUGCUUUGGAAACUGUGCAGCUAGAGUGCAGGAGAGGUAUGCGGAAUGCGCAGUGUAGCGGUGAAAUGCUUAGAUAUUGCGCAGAACUCCGAUUGCGAAGGCAGCAUACCGGCGGCGAUCUGACGCUGAGGCACGAAAGCGUGGGUAUCGAACAGGAUUAGAUACCCUAGUAGUC